UACAGAGGUCUCAAGCGUUGUUCGGAUUCAUUGGGCGUAAAGGGUGCGUAGGUGGCGCGCUAAGUCAGGUGUGAAAUCUCGGGGCUUAACUCCGAAACUGCAUUUGAUACUGGCGUUGCGUUGAGGACUGGAGAGGAGAGACUGGAAUUCAUGGUGUAGCAGUAGAAAUGCGUAGAGAUCAUGAGGAAGACCAGUGGCGAAGGCGGGUCUCUGGACAGUUCCUGACACUGAGGCACGAAGGCCAGGGGAGCAAACGGG
rnacentral:rRNA from 1 species